rnacentral:lncRNA from 1 species
GUAGGGCGCGCGGGCUGGGCGUGCGCGGGCUCGGCGGCGGGCGGGAAGGCGGGAAGGGCGGCGACAGGUCGCCCCGCUGGCCGAGGUCGGCCGGCUUCCCCUUGCCCGGCGAGGUCCAGAGCACCCUUUCAUUUAGGGGGCCAAGCCGAGGCGUGGGAAAGGGCCUCCCAUAGCCACCAAGCGUAUUCACUUAGCUAAGUCCGGGCCGGCUUGGGUUGGAGGGGUUUUGUUUUGAAGUAGGGCAGAGCCUGAUUGAGCUGGAGCUGGAGUGGGGGACAAGAAUAAAGGUGAAGACUUAGAUGAAAGAUUUUGAACUAGUAACAGUGGCGACCACGGUGACCCAGGCUUGUGUGACCCUUAGCGGCAGAAGGAAACAGGAGGGAAUUUUUCUCUGACCUUCAUUCUGAGAACCUGGAGAGAGGGGUGGUACCUGGAGGUAAAACCCAUGAAAACAUAGGCCUUCCCCCAAGAUUGGUCCCCCAGGAGUUUUCAACUCUCAAGCUAAUCCACACUCAGCCUCAAGCAAUUCAUCAAAACCACCGUUUAAAUAUUCCUACCAAUAAUUGUCUUCAGUGGCUUCUGCCUCAGCUGCUGGUGGUAUUGGUUCAGCAGCUCAAUGAUAUCACAUUUGCAAGAUGACUGGCCAGCUUUAGCCAUCCAUCCUUGUCCGAGGCAGGAAAAAUGAGGUAAGGAAUAUGUGUGACCUCUGUUCCUUAAGAAAACAUAGCAUUUUCUAGAAAAGCCCCUCUCCUCCAGCAGAUACUUGCUUGCAAGAUUGUGUCACAUUACCACCCCUAGGUACCUGUGACCCUAGUUGCCUGCUACACAGGCAACAGAGAAGGGGGUGGGGAAUGCCUAUUGAGUUGGACAAUCAACAGUACAUGGUCCUUUGCCUAUUUAUCUUUUAGAAUGUUUGUCUUUUUCUUAUUGAUUUGUAACAUUUCUUUGUUGCCUUUUUUCUAUGUGUCGCAUUUGUUUGGCAAAUAGAUUUUUCCAGUUUUUUGUUUGCAGUUUAAUUUUGUUUCAACAUACGUAAGACUGCCAUUUCGUAAUUGUUAGAUCUAUACAUCUUUCAGUUUAUGGCUUCUUCUUUGUUCUUGUGCUGACAAAAGCCUGGUCCCUUCUGUGAAAACAUGAAUACUCUUUCAUAUUUUCUUCUUGAUCUUUCAUGGUUUCACUUCAAUUUUAAAAAGGAACAAUGGUAUCCUGUUUGACUUCUUAUCCGAGAUGGGGGAAGGAGUGAUUCAGGGAUGUGGGUGCAAAGGAACAGAGGAAACAAAUUUAAUCUACUGCCACUUGAAUGUGGGAAAAACAACCCAUUCCUGCCAACUAUGCAAGAAAGUAUCCUGUGUUAAAAUAUUUAGUGGUGGGCAGUGGUGGCAGCUGGAUAAGGUGGACUCUUUUGGGGGUUUGUUUAAAGGCAAGAAAUGUUUUAUGGCAAACAAACUUCAAAUGCUGACUGGGGAGAAACUGUAACAAAUAAAGACUCUGGUUGCAUUUCAGAAAUAAAAGGUAAGUAUGAAUAUACAAAUGGAAAGACAGCACCGAAAUCUAUUUUGGAAGCAGAUGUGCCAUGAAAAAUCCUGUAAGCCUGAUCAGAGUCCAAAGUUUGCUGAGAAAGAGGCACCAGAAAAGUAUAGGUGCAACUGCUCAUACAUAGCACAGUGGUCAAAAGUAGUUUUUAUGAAGGGUAGAGGGAAAAAAAAAAACCAAUCUGCUUAGUAAAGCUGUUUUCUGUAUUUUGCAUUAACCUAAGGCUGGACAUUCUGUGUCCCAGAUGAAAUUACUUUUAAAGUGACAACAGCCAAGUGACAGCCCAGCCCUGUACAAUAAUGAGAAAAUAUACAAAUAUACAAGACAUUUUAGGCUUAGAAAAAAAUAUCUUCCCAUAUGUUUGCAUCUAAUCCCAUCUGUCUUUGAUAUAGAAAGAUGACAAACUGAAAUUGACAAUGAACUUCCCAAAUUAUUUUUCUUUGCUUCAAAUAGAAGCUACAGAACGGCCUAAAGCAUAAUCUGUAAAUUCCCAUCCCCUGGCAUGAAAACCCGUGACAUCAUGGUGUUUUCCAGUUAUCCUGAGACUGCAAGACUACAUUUGAGGAAAAAAUACUGUAUGACAACACAGUGUUGCUCCAUGUUAAUUUGUCUUUUCUAUGUUGGAUAGAUUAUUGGGUGCUCAGACCCGUGGCUGCUUUGAUAGGAAUUAAUAAAUUUGAUGAGUAGUAGCCUUGGAAGGGCACUUUGACCUUCAUCGCUUGCUUAUGAAUCUCUGGUCAUCAUUUGUUGUCCAUCAUGCCUGUUUUUGAAGACUUCGCAGGUGCUUAUUCAUCAAGAUGAAGGCAGAAAACUCUAUAAAGAACAUCCAUUUAACUAAUUAUUCCUCUCCAGCUGGUCCUUCAUGACCCUCAGUAUUUUCUCAAGAGUUGAGUUGUGCUUCUUCCUGUGUUUUAACCAAGUAUUUUCCUGUCUACUGGACUGGCUACUUCAACUUCAGCUCAUUUCAGGAAAUUACACGAAUUAAGCGCUUUGUUCAUCACUUUCAACCUUUGGAUUCAGAAGUACACACAUUUUCACUUUGCUUUUCUUGUGCAAUAGUCCUUGAAAAGAUGGGUUAAUUUGACAUCAUACUUUGUACCCAUCUUAUUACAUUUGGUUCUCCCACAGGAUGCUAUUAGUGACUAAUGUUACAGGCUUUGCAUAAUCUGUUUCUUUCUGCUUUUGUCCUAGUAGUUCUUUUGAUCACAGCUAGAUCCAAACAACAACUGGCUUAAGGUGACUUAUCCCUUUUUUAAACAACAUGUUAUUUGCAUCUGUAUAAAAGAGAGGCUAAGGCACUUUAAUAAUGAGCACAUAAGAGAGAAAAUUGGGAUUUAUGAUUUGCCAGAGUAUUAGCAACAGGUCUCUUUUUGUGCGAUGGCUACCAAACACCUCAGCAACUUCUUCAGGUGCUGCCUUGUUAAAUCUUGCAGUGCACAUGUGGAUCUAGCCUUCACAAAGCAUUUCCAAUUGUGAGGCUUUGGGCUUUGUUGGAUCUAAUUGCACUUCCUCCAACACAACACAUAUGCACUGUUAAGUGCACAUUUCCCACGCAGUGUUUUUAUGAACCUUAUAUCUGCAAGCACUUGACCUAUCUGUCUUUUGCUGGCUGGGGACUUUGGAAUCGAAGGAGUUCCUCUUUCUUAAUGCUUUAAGCAGGCUCCACACCACUUAGAGAUGGAAUCUUUUACAAUACAGUAUUCGGCUUGGAAUGGUUUGACAUGGCUAACGAUCAAGCCCUAACAAUGGAGACGCAGCCUUCCAUUUUCUCUCAACGUUAAAGAGGUCGUCCAUUGAGGAGACGGCAACGGCACGGCAGAUCUCCUGUGAGACGGUAAGGGGGUCAAAUACUUGAUUGGAAGAGAGCUGGGUCUCCUUAGAGUUGCCAUUGGUAUUUGUGACCUCCUUUGCAAAGACGAAAUUGAACUGUUGCUCUGGUAGUGAUUCAUUCUAUGUAAGCUUGGGAAAGACAGCAGUGAGCUUCAUGAUGAUGGUUGGGCACUUGGAGAUGAUGGGCACUUCCAGCCUUGUUUGGUAGCUUUCCUUCUUGUGUCUUUAUUGUUUUCAGGCUUGGUUGGUGGUAGUGGUGAGCUCCAGGAAAAAGAAGGUAAGAGGGGAGGGAGGAGGAAGCUUGAGAUACAGAUGAGAGCUCUGGCCCAAAUUUCACUAGGUUUGUUUCUCAAAGCUCUUAUGAAAGCAUACAGUAGAUAAAUGCUGACGUAUACCAGGGGAAUCACAAUUAUG